rnacentral:misc_RNA from 1 species
UCACCAAUCAAGCCUGGCUUGGUAUUGGGCGCCCGCGGUUCGCCGCGCGCCUCAAAGUCCCCGGCAGAGCAGCCCGUCUUCGAGCGUUUGACAUCCAUCUCGCUUGCCCGACGGGGGGUUUUCGCCGUUAAACUUUAUACAG